rnacentral:tRNA from 1 species
ACUAUUUUGGCAGAAAAAUGUAAUGAUUUUAGAAGUCAUAAAUAUAUGAAUUAAGUUUAUAUAAGUAGUA